UUUGAAUGUGGCGGACACUGUAGAACAUAUCCUUUUCUACUGUCCAUUUUACAACCUGCUACGCAAACGCAUGCUGCCCCCCUUUUUGGGGUAGUCUAACAUCACGGCACAAUGAAAAUUUCCGAUUAACCCGGAAUUAACUGCAAGGGGGGCUGAGGUUUUGUUAAUAGUAUCUCUUGGAGUGCUAAAUGGCACUAUUUAGCAGGAAGGAAUCCCAAUGAAAUUCCUCAUCAUUAUAUAUUUUACAUGGCUGUUUAUUUGUAUAUAUGUUAAAUGUUUUAGGAUGUCCUAUAUUUGUAAUGCCUAGAAAAGUUUUGAUGAAGUAAGUAAGUAAGCAUUACAUGGGGCUGGACUAGAUGAGCAUUGGGGUACCUUCCAAUUCUAGAAUUCUACAAUUCCACGAAAAGAGAAUAUGCAUGGGAAAGAGGGUCAGAGAGAAGGAAAAUCACAGGAGUGUAGAGAAGAACAGAUGGCAGACAAAAGCAAGACUGGAAGGACUGAGAUGAAAAGUAGAGGUUUCUAAGCUGCUUAAAUCUUAAAUAGUGCACUAAGCAACAUAAAAACUGUAAAGCAAUAUCAGAAGAACCAUAAAAACAGUAAUAUAAAGUCAUUAAAAAACCAGGAAUUUCAUCUGUCUGUCUGUCUGUCUGUCUAUCUAUUUUGUUCCCUUAGGUGCAAUAUUGGUGUGCACUAUCUCUGGCUUUGUCCCCAUGGACAUGACGAUCACGUGGGAGGAAGGUGGCCAAUCAGAUAACACCUCCGGCAUCAUAAGUGCAAGCACUGGUAACACAGCACACUUCAGCCUUAAACCACUAGGCGAUUCGGAGGGUGACCUCUUCGUCUGUCGAGUAUCCCACCCUGAGUCCCAAACAAAAGUCAAUGAACCUGAAGACAAAGGGAACGGUCUCCAUGAGAACCUCUAUCGCGCCAACCAUAAAGAAAGCAGCCUUCAGCGAGCACAGACAAUCCUCACCGGCAUGGUCAUAGGGCUCAAUGCAAGUGAAGUUUCUGUCCAGUGGGCGAAGAAUGCCCUCCUUGAAGGUCACCAUGUGAACCCCCGAGUCUUGAAGGGCAGCAUCAAGGAUUCCCUCUUGGCCCUCAGCCAGGUGGUAAUCCCCUACUCUGACUGGAACAACGGUACUUCAUACUCCUGUACGUUUACCCGCACAGCAGGCACCGUGGAGCCCACCCAGAGGCCUGAGGAGAAAUCCCAGGGUGAAAAGUGAUGCAAACCCCUUUCUCAGCAUCACAACCUCAGUUUUCCCUCCUCAGCCUAUCCCAGAUUCAAUAAUAUCCAUGUAUCCAUGUUUGGCCUAAGGCUGAAUAAAAGUGAGCAAACUCACAGAUAUCUCUUGAUGUGAUCACUUGAUUGAGGUGGUGGGUGGGUUCUGGAAAGAAGUGCGGAAUGGAUUAAUCUCCCUGCAAAAUCGUGUUGAAGUUUGAUUAUUGUAGAAGCAAAGUGUGUUUAGCACAUAACCAUGAAGUUCACUAGAAUGCUUUUGGCUAGUCACUGUCUAUCCACAUAACCCACCUCACCAGGUUUUUUGAGGAUAAAAUGGGGAGGCAGAGUACACUGUACGCAUACUCUCCAACAUUCCUCAUUUGAAAAUAUGGACAUUUCUCACUCUCACUCCCUCCGCCAUAUGACCCUCCUCAAUGUCACGUUUUUUAUCUGUUGCCCACUCCUGCAAAACAUUUCCUAUCAGAUGAAGGUUCAGACGCUUGCCCUGGUGGCCCAGUCCACACAUGAAACACUCUGAUGGUGUUUCCUGCUUGGCAGGGGGUUGGACUCGAUGGCCCUUGUGGUCUCUUCCAACUCUAUGAGUCUAUGAUUCUAUUAUUCAUUUCAAGACCUCCCUAAAUAGCUAAGUUAGGGUGUUCUUGAAGCUACCAACAUGAGUUUGACCAAACUGCGGGAGGCAGUGGAAGACACACCUGUAAAAUACAUGGGUAUGGCCCAAAACCACUAAAAGACAGCCUCAAAGUAGAAUCAUACCGCCCAAUCUCAUUAAUAAACCAAGACUACAAGAUAUUCACAUCAAUCUUGGCCAACCGCCUAAAAAUCUUUGUACACAAGUUAAUAGCCCCAGACCACACUGGCUUUGUCCCUGGCCGCAAUAUAACAGACCCCACUACUGAACCUGAUCGAACACAGCAAGGCAACUAAACUCCCAUUGACAAUUAUGUCGCUAGACAUCCACAAAGCCUUUGAGUGCUUAGAGUGGAAAUACAUAUUAGCAGUACUAACUAACGUGAAAUUUGGCCCCAACUUCCUACAAAUCCUCAAACAAAUAUACUCCCAAACCUCAGCAAAAUGCAGAACUAAC
ensembl:lncRNA